rnacentral:rRNA from 1 species
ACUCAAAUGAAUUGACGGGGACCCGCACAAGCGGUGGAGCGUGUUGUUUAAUUCGACGAUAAGCGAAGAACCUUACCAAGGUUUGACAUCCUUCUAAUCCUUUCGAAAGUUAGGAGUGCCUUCGGGCAGGAAGUGACAGGUGAUGCAUGGCCGUCGUCAGCUCGUGUCGUGAGAUGUUUGGUUAAGUCCAUCAACGAGCGCAACCCUUAUAUUUAGUUGAAUUUUUCUAGAUAGACUGCCCUGGCAACAGGGAGGAAGGAGGGGAUGAUGUCAGGUCCGUAUCUCCCUUACACCUUGGGCUACAAACACGCUACAAUGGCCAGUACAAAGGGCAGCCAACCCGCGAGGGGGAGCAAAUCCCAUCAAAGCUGGUCUCAGUUCGGAUUGCAGGCUGAAACUCGCCUGCAUGAAGCUGGAAUCGCUAGUAAACGUAGGUCAGCACACUACGUUGAAUACGUUCCCGGGUCUUGUACACACCGCCCGU